AGCAGCCGCGGUAAUUCCAGCUCCAAUAGCGUAUAUUAAAGUUGUUGCAGUUAAAAAGCUCGUAGUUGAAUUUCGGGGUUAGUAGGUUGGUCAUGCCUCUGGUAUGUACUGGUCUCACUGAUUCCUCCUUCCUGAUGAGCCGUAAUGCCAUUAAUUUGGUGUUGCGGGGAAUUUGGACUGUUACUUUGAAAAAUUAGAGUGUUUAAAGCAAGCUAACGCUUGAAUACAUUAGCAUGGAAUAAUGAAAUAGGACGUUCGAUCCUAUUUUGUUGGUUUCUAGGAUUGACGUAAUGAUUAAUAGGGAUAGUUGGGGGCAUUAGUAUUCAAUUGUCAGAGGUGAAAUUCUUGGAUUUAUUGAAGACUAACUACUGCGAAAGCAUUUGCCAAGGAUGUUUUCAUUAAUCAAGAACGAAAGUUAGGGGAUCGAAGACGAUCAGAUACCGUCGUAGUCUUAACCAUAAACUAUGCCGACUAGGGAUCGGAUGAUGUUAAUUUUUAAUGACUCAUUCGGCGUACCCG
rnacentral:misc_RNA from 1 species